rnacentral:rRNA from 1 species
CCCGCUGAACUUAAGCAUAUCAAUAAGCGGAGGAAAAGAAACCAACAGGGAUUGCCUCAGUAACGGCGAGUGAAGCGGCAACAGCUCAAAUUUGAAAUCUGGCGCAAGCCCGAGUUGUAAUUUGGAGAGGAUGCUUCUGGGUAGCGGUCGGCUUAAGUUUCUUGGAACAGAACGUCACAGAGGGUGAGAAUCCCGUAUGUGGUCGAUAGGCACCCUUCACGUAGCUCCUUCGACGAGUCGAGUUGUUUGGGAAUGCAGCUCAAAAUGGGAGGUAAAUUUCUCCUAAGGCUAAAUACCGGCCAGAGACCGAUAGCGCACAAGUAGAGUGAUCGAAAGAUGAAAAGCACUUUGGAAAGAGAGUUAAAAAGCACGUGAAAUUGUUGAAAGGGAAGCGCUUGCUGCCAGACUUAUUAACGGUGUUCCGCCGGUCUUCUGACCGGUCCACUCGCCGUGGAUAGGCCAACAUCAUCUGGUGCCGCCGGAGAAAGGUGUCGGGAAUGUAUCUUCCCCGGGAGUGUUAUAGCCCUUCACACAAUACGGCGUGCGCCGGGUGAGGUCCGCGCUUCGGCUAGGAUGUUGGCGUAAUGGUAGUAAGCGGCCCGUCUUGAAACACGG